rnacentral:lncRNA from 1 species
GGACAAGCCCUAGGGAGGGUGGAGGGGCGGGGCAGAAUGGAACUUGGGUCAACUCCAGCAGGUUAACCCCUGGCUUGAGUGUGUAGGAAAUCUGGAAGGGAGGUGCUGGAGGAGAUGGAACAGAGCUAAGGAGGGCCACCAUCUUGAGCUAAAAGGACCGAGAGACGGAGAGGAAGGGGAGGGGGCUAAGAAAGAAAAUAAUCGGGAGGAUGAUCUCUGGCUACUUGGUUACAUCAGAGGAAUCUCACUCUGUAUGGGUAGGUAGAAGGGAUUGGAAAGGGUAGAGGCCGAAUUUAGUGGAGAGCGACGGAUGCAACUCCAAGACCUUUAAAGCCCUGCAGGAGGACAUCAAACCAGAAGCGCUGGAUUAAACAGACCCUUGAUUGGUGCUUGAUGUGAAAGAGCCCAGUUUACUGUGGAUGGUGCCAUUCCCGGGCAUUUCCCUCAGGCAACAUCGGCCUCAACCAUGGAGUCCAGGUGCAAAUCAUCUCUCUCACUGUUUUCAAUUAACGAUGCAGACAAGCUGGUACGGCUCUCUCCUAUCCUCCUCAGACCUAUGAUUAAAAAGCAACAUUAUAAACGAGUGUGAUUCAUGCCCCAUGGCUGGGGCUC